CACGAACCGUCCAAACGUUAUUCGGAAUUACUGGGCUUAAAGAGUCCGUAGGCGGCUUUGUAGGUGAGGUGUGAAAUCCCUCGGCUCAACCGAGGAAUUGCGCUUCAAACCGCAGAGCUUGAGGAAGAUAGAGGAAAGCGGAACUGAUGGUGGAGCGGUGAAAUGCGUUGAUAUCAUCAGGAACACCGGUGGCGAAAGCGGCUUUCUGGGUCUUUACUGACGCUGAGGGACGAAAGCUAGGGGAGCAAACGGG
rnacentral:rRNA from 1 species